GAUGAACGCUGGCGGCGUGCCUAAUACAUGCAAGUCGAGCGAACAGAUGAGGAGCUUGCUCCUCUGACGUUAGCGGCGGACGGGUGAGUAACACGUGGAUAACCUACCUAUAAGACUGGGAUAACUUCGGGAAACCGGAGCUAAUACCGGAUAAUAUAUUGAACCGCAUGGUUCAAUAGUGAAAGACGGUUUUGCUGUCACUUAUAGAUGGAUCCGCGCCGCAUUAGCUAGUUGGUAAGGUAACGGCUUACCAAGGCAACGAUGCGUAGCCGACCUGAGAGGGUGAUCGGCCACACUGGAACUGAGACACGGUCCAGACUCCUAAGGGAGGCAGCAGUAGGGAAUCUUCCGCAAUGGGCGAAAGCCUGACGGAGCAACGCCGCGUGAGUGAUGAAGGUCUUCGGAUCGUAAAACUCUGUUAUUAGGGAAGAACAAAUGUGUAAGUAACUAUACACGUCUUGACGGUACCUAAUCAGAAAGCCACGGCUAACUACGUG
rnacentral:rRNA from 1 species